GAGAAGCCGGCCGAAAGCGACGACAAGAAAAGAAUAUAAUAUUAAAUCUCACGGUCCGCGUCCUCUACCCAGGACGGAUAAUCCGUGGUUUACGCUACGACGACGACCGUGCACCGGGGCGCCUCUUUUCGUGGCCCAUGCGAGGAGACGGUACGCGAAAAGUUAUCAGGCUUUCCAUUAUACGUAUCUUACGACUGCCUUCACGCCGCGAAAGAAAUCCUUCACUACCCCCGCUGCCUCUCUCUCUCUCUCUCUUUCUUUCUCUAUCCACCUUCACCUUAGAUUUCGGUUCUCGCCGUUUCUAUACCAACGCGCGAUUCUCCGGGAACUCAAUUUGAUGUCUUCUGUUAUUCUGUUUGUGCCGUUGCACCUCUUUCUGCUUCUCCCGUUCUGUUCCCUGUCGAAGCCCUAAGGCAAACCUUGCUUCUUUCAUUGCUCGCGUAAACAUUUGGACUAGCAGGAGGGGAGGGAAUAAAAACAACGGAGUGUUGGUUGCCAUAAAGGAAAUGAAGAAAUGAAGCAAUAACUUGCGAUUACAGGAAGGAUGCAGCAAAACGAAUGUAAUGAACAUUCUUUCCAAUUUUUAUGAAAAAAUUUAAGCGUGAAUAGUUCUCUGUUUUAUAAUUAUCCGCGAAUACCUCGUGCUCAUUACGGCGGAAACAUAUAAAGCGAACAAUACAAAUAAUGCAUCGAAAUAAACAAUUCUAUUUGCAAAUGGAUUGAGGACGAUUCGAUUACCGAGAAUUCAUUGAUCGCCGGGAGCUCGGCUCGUUUAAUCAGACGUCAUCGUCAUGUUUGUUCGCAUUUAUUCAUCACGGCUUUUAUUUUCCACAUAAUUACCGUUUAACAGUUCUGAUCUUUCCGAAUCAUCUCAUUUGUAGUGACGUGUGCAAUAUGCAUUGAUGAAAAUCUCACGUUUUGAUACGUUUAAUGACGUACAUUACAUGGCUUUAACUGCCUCAGUUUCCUUACUAGAAAUCAUUUUUGUUGUUUUGAGAACAAUUUUUUUAUUAUAAUCUUUUAUUAACAAAUAUUUCUGGCGUGUCGACUAAAAAGCAAAUUUGUUAUAAUGUAUUAAUUUUUAUGAGAGUUAUAAAUAAUCAAAGUUAGGUUGGAUAUGUCAUAACACGUGUCAUUCCAGCGAUAAAAUGAAUAAGUGUGUCGUUCCAAGAUUAAGAAACUUUGCCGAAUUUCUGUAAUUCUCUUUCUCUCUUUUGCUCUUUCAAUAAUUAACAGUUUUUCCUCCUUAGCUUUAUUUUUUUUUCAGCAAAAGUUAGAAGAAUCUUGUCUUAGGAAUUUAACAUUAAAAUAAAAAGAUACGAUUCACAGCGAUCGAGAAUUUAGCCUAACAAAUUAUUAAUUUCAAGAGUAUCCUGUUACGCGCGCUGUUCGCACCUUAAUUAAUUCUUUACUUGCUUCACUUUUCCAAAUUCCGACAUGGUGCAACAUACCGAAAAUGUGGCGCAGGCAUUCGCUGGCAUUAAUUUAUUGGAGUUAAAUGCGAGAAGUUUCUCUUCCCCGCGCGAAUACGUAUUCGCGACGGUAGUUCAUCUCUCGUGCGCGCGAUCCCCCACUGAUUCUCCGCGAAAAUUCUCGAACGCAUAAUUUCAUAGAAAUAUCUCGCGUGUUUCAUAGAUCUGUCCCGGAGUUCACGCGGACUUUUUUCUACUCCGCGGCGCGGAAAAUGGCUGCGGCUCGCGACGCACGGUCUGUCGGUGUCACGAUGAAGAAUCCACCCGCGGUUCAUUCCCCUUUUAUAUUUUGAUCCUCUCUUUUUCCUUUUCCUCCCACUCGCUCCUUUUUCGAGAGCAGUCGUAUAACUUUGACCCUCGUGUAUUCUAUUUUAACGCCCACGAUCGCGACCUGGCUCGAAUUUACCAUCGCCGUACACGCUUCAACCGAACACGCGACGUUUAUACGUCACCGUCCCUUCGGUUUCUGCUCACGACAAUAUCUCUUAUUAUUCAUGCGAACGAACGAAAUUGCCUUUCAACAUCGGUAUCUUCAAGAUAAUUAUCCGCCUUGAGCGUACAAAAUAUUUCAAACUUAUAUAAAGGAUAUACAAUUUAUAAACAAACGUUUUGAUUUAAAUCGAUUUCACACACGUUCAAUUAUAAGUAGCAAAUAUGUUUUGAUAGAACAAAAAAUUAGAUUUCCUUUUUCAAUUAUGAUUUUACAUAAUAGUAAAGAAUUUUAAUAAACGUCUUAUUUAUCUAUAUUUUUUCUUACCUGAUAAAAUUCUUGAAGAAUUCUUAAUCUGAAAUUUUUAACGUAUGUUUUCAUUGUCUUGCAAGUAUUAAAAUUUGGCGAGUAACUCGAAUAUACAAAAACCGAGUUUUCCCGGUUUUGAGUUAUUCGAUACCGUUGGCUCGUUUUUCCGUAACCAAAAGAAUUCGUGUUUCGCGACCAAUGUAAUCGUUCGGUAAAGCUCGGAAAGUCGCGCGCGAUUCUUUUUCAUUGAAAUGCAUGCGAGAAACGGACUUGUCGAUAGAAAAGUUUCGGCUUGGCACGCGAAAUGACGUUAUUGCGCGUGCUUAUUCCUCAAAAUAGGUUAAACGCAGAUGUAGCAAUAAAUAUUUUCUGCGUUUCAAGAUUAUAUAAUAUAAAUUCGCAGAUGUAAAAUUGGAGAUAACAUUUUUCGCGUCGCGUAUGCCCUCGUCUAAUCUAACGUGAAGACCAAAAAUCGAUUUCGCGUGGAUUGCAUCUCACGAAGCGUGUAGAUUCGUUAAAUUUACGAUCACUGUCACGUACAGGUCUUCUAAACUUACACAGGCCAUGAAAAUCUAUUAAUGUCUAUGUAAGUUUAAAGGAUCGCUGGGUUACAUUGGAAAUUGAAGGAUUAAGAGCCUCGUGCAUUUUGGUGGCCGAAAUAAUUUUACACAUAAUUUCCUGAUCACCGAAUGUAAUCCCAAAGAUAACGAAAUCGUAUCGUGUGUCUCGCCUUCUCCCGGCUACUCUUCAAAAAAUCACCCGGGAUUACGCUCAUGCGACAGUGCGCCGUGCGGUAUAAAAGGGUAUUUCGCUCCAUAAAUGUCAACGUCAUUCUCUCUUUUUUUUUUUCCUUUCCGUUUUCGGUGUACCGUGGCCGAAAGAAUCAUGUUUCAAUUCGCGUUACAUUCGCAUGCGACCGAAAAUGCGACGGUGGUGUAUUUAACUGGAUUUCGCGCGGAAGCACUCGUGGGACGGCGCAGCACGCUGCAACGGUCGGCCGGUCGUUCGGUCGGUCGGUUGGUCGGCCGAUCGAUCUCGACAAUUUCAGCGCCGACAGGUCGGGCGGACUCUGACGCGGUUACUGAAAAUCUAGAAAAAAAAAAAAUAAAAAAAGAGGGAAGAAAACAGACGAAAAAUUGGGGAGGAAUGGACACGCGGCGCGACGCGACGGCCGAGGGGGUUGAUGCGCGUGGAGAAAUAGCGACGUCAACGACUGACAAAAAAAGGGACGCGAGCGGGCGAGCUGUGUUUCAGGAGGAAAAUAUUGCGGCGCGAUAAACGUCACCGAUAAGCGCGUGGAGACGACCAAUAAAUUUUUUGACGGUUGACGGUGCCCGCGAGAGAGCGAACUUGUUUAGUGGCCGUCGGAAUUCGAAAUAAAAUGCGUCUCUUCCCUUUCUCCCUGUCUCUGCCCCUCUCUCUCUCUCUCUCUCUCUCUCUUACUUCCUUCCUUUCUCUCUAUAUUUCUCUCUCUAUCUCUCUGUUGUUUUUUUUCUUCCCGUCGUUUUAUUCGCUAACCUUUUGCACGAGGAAGUCCACACGCUAGAGUGCGUAACGGCGCGCAGGAAUUUUCCGCGCGUUGUUGGGAAGUUUUUGUUGGCGGCAGUCACGGGCGCGCAGGAAACCAAUUUUUUCUUUUUUUAUCGUUUUUUUUAAUGAAAUCAAACUAUUUCUUUCACAUGCCGUUUGACAUUACUCCGCUUCUCUCGAUAGAAACAAUUUGUCAAUGUGAAUGUGUUUCGGAAGUUGAUUUUUUUCAUAACUGAAAACGUCAAUCAUUCCCAGCAACAAGUAAUUAGAAAUCUAUUGCGUUUUUUAAUCGAAUCAUACGAAUUAAGCGCAUAAUAUAUCUUUAUCUGCUAUUUGACCUAAAUAAAUCCUAAAAUUUAAUAGAAAAUCCGAAUUUAAUGAAGCUGGUAUUAAUCAUUGAAAUAUUUAGUUUCCAGAAUACAUUCAAAAAUGAAUGAUCAUACUUUACAAUUUAAGUAUAAUAACAUCUUGUAAAUAAAUUAUUUAAAGUAUAAAUGUAAUCUAGAAAUUUACAAAAUUCGAGAAAAUACAUUUAGUAUCACUGAAAGUUUAACACUCUUUGGAAAAUGUUCGCUUCUCCAUACGAGCGCUUUAAUGGGUAUUCUCGUGAGCCUCAGAAAAUUAAAAAUUUAAGAUUUUGAAUUAAACGAUUCGAGAGUAAGAGUAUGGAGAGAGAGAGAGAGAGAGAGAGAGAGAAUAAAAGAAAGAAAGGGAAAGAGAAAGAGAAGCGACCAUUGCUGGAUUAUCUCGUGCAGAAGCUCGAAACGUAAAAGGGUUGGCAAGAUAAAAAAAAAGCAUCCGCUUCAUUCCGUACAUCAUCGGAUAGUGGCUAGUAUAAAUGGGUGUCGCCGAUAGCCCUCGGCCACCGUUGGGAAAACCGAUAGCGCAACGAUCAUCGAGUAAAAGCGUGAUUGAUAAAAAAGGAAAUGCGAAGCGGCCAUUGCAUUGCCGCUUUCCUCUCUCGUGGGGAUCGUAUCUGCCGGCAGUGGCAUCGAAAUGAAAUGAUUAUCGCAUGCAACGAUAACCCCCGUCGUUAAAUUGGCGCAGUUAAUAAAACAUUGAAAGCAUCGAUUGUCGUUUGAGCGCGAUAAUUUAUCUAGAAAAGUGUUUUCUCUUUGACGACGGAGCCUUGGGGAACGCAAUUCCUUUGAGCGCGUAACACAAUACUGCACUUUCAGGAUGGCCGACGGCAUAAAAAAUUCAUGUAAUGUCUUCCGUGAUGACUUAAUAAUUUUGUAUUUUAUAUUAAACAAAUCCUAUUAAUUCUUGUGACCUAUCGAAUGACUUGAGAAGAGAAAUACGAAUCCGAUGACUUAAGAAGGAGAGAGAAUCACGUAAGAGAACGUCAUUAUUUCGAUAUAUAUAGAUUCACGAUGGAUGAUGACUCGGGAUUAUGUUUGGAGACUGAGUAUUAACCUAACCGGCGACAUUCUCUGGAUGUCAAUAAAGGGAUAAAGAGAUGGAAUCGACUUCGCUUGCCUCAUACUGAGAUAUCGACUUUGUCCGCAAUAUCCGGCGCAGAUAUUUUGCAAUGGUCCAAGUGUGUUUCACUCGAUUCUUUAUCCGAAAGCGAUUUCCGAAGAUCCCCAAAGGUAAAAAGGAAGUAGUUUUUUUUCUUAUUAGAACGAUAUAUCUAAAUAUUCUAAAUUAUAGAAAACAAAUUACAUUCUGUUUUUUUUUUUAUUAACAGUGGUUAAUCACCAAUGGUUGAUCACUUAAAAAUGAAAUAACCGAUGUCUUUCGAAUUUUAAGCAAAUAAUUUAAUUGUUAUAACUAUGCGUGGUUAUUUAACUAUGCUGCCAGUUCAUUUCUUCUCCAUUAAAGUAAUUGAAGCAACUAAUUUAAAUGUAAACAAAUUUUUAUAAUCCUCAUAGUAUUAAUACAAACAUCUCCUUAUAUGAUUACAUAUCAAAUAUUUCGUAUUGUAUAAUGGAAGGCUUAUUAAUGCACGCACAGGAAGCACGAGUGCGAAAUGACGGAUACCGUUACAUACAUUGGCCGGGACGCGGUGCGAAUUCCUCAAUUUUCAUUCGAGCCUCUAAUGCGGUAUAUUAGGCGCCAAUCGGUCAUCGUCAUUGGUGCGCAUAUGCACAUCGCUCUCGCGUUUAGGAACGCAUUUUGUACACCGUUCUGCCGGGGCGGAACGCUUGCCAGUCGUUCCGACAGCUACCGCCGCCGCAUCUAUUAGUCAAUGGUGAAUGAAUAUUUGAUAGUGAGAGUUAUGGUCCGAUCAAAUUCCAGCUCCGUGUACAGCCCCGGCUGCUUACGGAUAUUUUAUGUACAUGACCGGCUGAUAUAUACAGGAUGUAUCUCUUAUUUACGGCUCGCUGUGCGGAUCGACGAGCGCGAACGAUAUUUCCACACUUCGCAAAAAUUCCCACUUGUCCGUGUUUAUUCGCGCCGCAUUACAUCAGACACAUUCGAGAGAAACGAUGUAUUCUUCACGGAUAUUUAUGUAUGCGAAAUAUUUCGGUGUUUUCAAUUUUAAUUUCAGCAACAGGUUCCUCGGGAAGAAACGAGCUCGAAAAUUAACUUGUACACAUUUUGAAAAACAAAAUAAAUUUGUUAAUAUUUUGGAUUAUUUUAUUUAUAAUUUUUAUCUUACGUAUCUUGAAUUUUUAUUUUUAUUGUAAUAUACGUUCUGUUAAAACGCAAAGUUUUUACUAAUGCAUCUUUAUAGACUAUUAAAGAUUGUAUCUUAUUAAAAUAUAAUAAAGAUGAUUAAAAUAUUAGAAUAUAAUAAAGAUGGUUAAAAUAUAGAACAGUUUGCAAAAAGAUAAAAUAUUACCUCUCUUCUUCGAAUGCAAAAAACGUCUAUUAAUUAUUAUUAAAAAACUAUUUAUAAAAAAUUAUUUAAUAGCCUUUGAAGGCAGCGGUUUCUGCUAUCACAGUUCAUACAAUAAAGAAAUAUUACAUUAUAGAAAUGAACAUUGUAAAUUGGGUCAAUUUAUUACACAAGAAAAAAUGAUUUUCUUAAGUGUGUCUAAAGGUUCAGCUGAAUAUAGAUUUCAGAGUAAUUCAAUCAAAAAUAAUUAUGUAGAACGCUCAAGAGUUAAUUGCUAGAAUAUCAAAACUUUUUUGUAGUAUGGUUCAUGUUUAAACAUUCUUCAUAAUUAUUUCGAUAGUUUAACCAAAUUAUUUUCAAAUCUGUAUCCAACUAAAUUUUUAGACUUUUCAGCAAAAUCGUUCCGUGUAAUAAUAUAGCAUAAUUUAAUUUAAUGACACGAUAAAUAAUUUAAUUUCUAUCUUAACACGUGCAUUUGUAACAAGUUUCUCAUUAUAAUAUUUGUUACGUUUAUUAAAAUAUACGUAUACAUAAUUAUAAAAAAUAUUUCCUUGUCAACCUACGCAACGAAUUAAUUGAUCAGCGUUAUAGUCAAUCGCAAUAUAUGAAGCGAAAGCGUUUAAAACUUAUAGACUUUUGUGACGAGUGACGAGAACAAUCUCACGGAUUAACGCUACAUUGCGUAAUAGAAGAUACACUUUAAGUGAAAGAUCUCUCGUGCCCGAUUGCAACGCUCUCUAUUGUUAUUGCUACAUUGUUUCGCUAAAAUUAAUGGACCAACCGUGCUCCUACUUUCUACGAUUUAACGACCUUAUCUACGUCUACGAAACUUUGUGAAAUAGUUUUAGUAGGAGAAAUUGUAUGUAAUUAUUUUAUAAUAUGAUAACCAUCUCUCUUUUUUUAUAAUAAUUAAUUUCACGCGUCACUAUACGUCGAACAAUGCUAGAUUACAACACGUGUUAAAUUUUAUACGUGCGUGCAUAACAUUUAAAUGGCUUUCGAGAACGCAAAGAGUAAUGAUUUCUGUCAACAAUACAAUCGCUACGUUAUCGCUGGCGACAAUACGAUAAGAGUUAAACGCGUACAAAGCGUAAAGUCGCUACGGCUGACCAUCGUCGGCCGUUACUACUUGAAUUGAUACGCCGCCGCGGCACGCCGUGUGGCCAUUCUUCUUUACACAUACCGGCCCUUUUGUUUCCCUUCAUCCAUUACUCCGCGAAGAGACGAGGAAAACAGAGGCACGUGUACGUGUGUAUGUGUUAAUGAAUGUGUAUCGUGCGCGAGCACGUGUUUCUUUGAACUCAUGUACACAUACAGAACGCAUACAGAAUAACAGCUCACAAAUAUUUUGUGAAGAUGUAAAAUGCGUUUUUACAUCUUCGAUUGUAAUAAUUUUUCAAUAGAAAAUGUUGAAGGAAAUUGUUAUUGAGAAUACAUAUAUUUUGUAUUUGUGUUAAAACCGGUCCUUGAUAAAAUUUUUGUUAAUUUAACGUAAUGUUACUUGAAUAUUUUGUGUUAAAUUAAUAUUCAACAUUUCUUGCAGUGAUAAAAGUAAUAGUUUAAGAAUAACUUUAACAAAUUUUGUGUUAAAACUUCGAGUGGACAUUUGAAAUUCAUCAAGUUUAACAUGAAAUUGUUUAUUACAUAAGUAAAUAAAACACAUAACUCCUUUUAAAUUGAAUAUUUCGGGUACUUCAGGUCUCUUUUAAAAUUUUUAAACACAAAAUAGAGGCACUUUGAAUCGCUCUUUCUCCACCUUAAAAUCAUUAUUAAGUUUAUCUAUACAAUUCUAUAAAACUUCAAUAUUAUUCUGUAAACACACUGUAUACGUAUUUCUGUACCCUCGGCACGCUCUGGCCUUAGCUAUUUAGUCAUCGCGCGUGACUCGCCUGGUGAACCAGCUUUUAGUCCGCUGCUCAAAGGGAAACCCGAACGGUGAGAUAAGAAGGCGGACUGCGAACGGCAGGAAAAAAUUCUAGGGAAUAUACGACGACGAGCGAAACGAAGUGAAUGUAACGGGGUAAGUCGCGGACUUUAUCAGUUGCCUCUCCCAAGUUUGUACACCAUCGCUUUACCGUCGCCAUUCUUGCAAGUUGACGCUGUCGGCCCUCUCGAGUCCGCUCCUCUCUCAUCGCCUUCCAUUCCUUCUUCUCCCGCGGCCCUGAGACGACGCCUGAUUGAACGGCUUUGUCGCGACACAGAGGCACGUCGUCCCGUUGCGGUAAAUACAUUUCCCGCAAGGUUCGAACAGAUUUUCGACAAAACGGUUGCGUCAGAUAAUACGGCAUUCGACGUGCACACAAACGCGCUCGCUCGACCGCUAUCGACAGCUAUGCACGUCUACGAGAUGCCGAAUUUCGCUUAAAAUUAAUUGAACUAAAGUUCAGCAACGGUCCGAUAACGCUUUUCAAUCUUCCGGAAGAGAGAGAGAGAGAGAGAGAGAUAAAAAGGGACAGUUAACAUCAUAAUGAUAGUCUGGCUGUUCUUUUUCCCUGUCCUACAAUUUUAUCGGCCAUUUUGCAAAUCCCUUGUGCAACAUACAAUAACAAUCGCGCCGCUUCGCGCUUAUUCGAGAAGUCUUCCCCGUUCUCGUACGACACGCGAAAUCGGCAGCGACGACAAAUUUUGCCGGGGUAUUACGUGCGGCACGAACGUAAUAUUAAAGCUUAGCGUGCUCUCCAAUGGAUUCGGCGCGUAUAAACCGCGCCGUGUCGUAACACCGGCGCGAGACAUUUACGCGGCAUUUAACGCCCAGUGUUUCUACACCGACCCGGUGUGUGUCAGUAAGGCAAGUGUAAGUGGGUCGUGCAAACGUAGUUACAACUGUGCGGCCGGACACAGCGGCGGGGAGGUUUAGCCCAUUACACCGCUCCGGGAUGACCAUCGGGCGUCUUGGGCGAAACUGAGCUAAGUAUUUCCGCGUUAACGCUCGUUAACGUUGCGCGUUAAUUACGCGCGGUCAUCUGCCGCCACCAGUGUCCAGUUAACCGAAAUAAUAAUACGUAAUUAUUGCGUUAUUAUCGCGUUAUCCCGUGAACGUUUGAUUUAUAAUUAUUGACGUUGUAAUAAUGUCAAUAAUUAAUUUAUACUUACCGUAUUAUUACUACAAACGUUUGAUUUAUAAUUAUCGUAUUAUUAUUGCGCCAUUGUUUCGCAAACGUUUCUGUUUUAAAUUGUUAUGCAAUUAUCGCUUACAGAUUAUUUAAGUGUUCGAUUACACCGAUAUUUCGCAAUUGUUCGCGAUAUGAUGGAAUAUUUAAUCGAUCAUUUGUACCGGCGUAAUGAACGAUUUCGCGUGCUCUCCUUCAACGUACAAGUCCUUCAGCGUACUUUCGAGGAAUGGCACCGGACGAUUUGGCUUCGAGAUAUCGAAGUGACUUAACGAGAGUCAAUCAAUAUCAGGAGCGUGUAGGGAAUGGCAAAGUCUUGCGUAAUAAUACCAAAUCCCGUAAAAUGCGGAAAUUGCGGAGGAUUGUAUCGCGCGUAGCGUACGUAUCGGGCUUUUCUCUCUUUCUCUCUCUCUCUCUCUCCCUCUCUCUCUCUUUCUCUACGUAAAAAUUCAGUUUCCAUCGAGUCGUAAGCUCUCGCGAAAUGAACGAUUCGCUGAUAUCGCAUCCCGCGGAAAGAAUCGCGUGCGACGGAGCGAGUCAUCGUCACACGUGACUCGGAUUUACGGAUGGCACUUUUAGCUUGUCUCUCCAUUUUUCUGGUCGCGAGUCCGGAUUUGUGAGAGGAAAACGCGAAAUGCCUGGCCGCCACCGCGCCGAGAGAGGAGAAGAGAGAGAACGAGACAAAGAGCCGUCGUUCGACGUGAAAGGAAGAAAGAGGGCUUGUUGUAACAGCAGGCACUGACUUUAUCGGGCUUUCGAGUUUAUAUAUUUUUCUUUUACAAGGGGUUGCCGCCCCCGCAUUUUCACGCUCUCGAACCCGGCCUUCUCUUCUCACUCUCGACGACUUUCUCUCUUUCUCUCUUUCUCUCUUUCUCUUUCUCUCUUUCCACCCCCGCUGCUCCGCCGACACUUGCAUUCACCGGCAGCCGCCCCAUUUCGUGCACUGCGCAUUCAUUUCAAGCCCUCACCCCCGUCCAAAGUCCUCCUCGUACCCUCUCUAUCGCGCACCCCUAUUUCGCACUUAGAAACCAACCUCUCCCAACCACUCUCUCCAUCGGUUAUUUAUUUGCGAUAGUCCGGUACUUUUUACACUGCUAGCUGCUAUCGUGUCGGAACCCUUUGUUCCCUCGAGCCACCUUCGGAGCACGAUUCCUUCGUCCUACUCGACGGGAGGUUGAAAAGCGCCGGGAAAGGUGUGUACGAAACGUUGCCCGACGACCGCUACUAAGAUGCAUCGUGAAGAUGGAAAAAUAACAAUUUUCGUGAUAUCCCGUAUUAUUAUCAAAAAACACGGUCAUCAAGACUUCAUUUAGUGCGUCUCUCUCUUUUUUUGCAUUUUGUUUUCUUCCCUUUUGUCUUGAACCUCGUACGAUGUUCGAUAAUGCGGCUUGGCUUUCCAGGCUUGAUGAUAGCUUUAUCGAACCCGUUCAUGAGCUCCGCUCAAUUAGCCUCCCCUCGAUGCAACGACAAAAGCGUAACGACGCGUGUCCAUUACUUCGUGCUUCGAUCCUUGUGUUUUAUUAAUUUUCCUUUUUAUUAGGCUUUCCCCUGUGAUUUUUUGUUUUAGUGUGCAUUUACUUCGAAAUAAAAAAAGAACGUGCAAAAUUUAUCUUUAUUAGAAUUUAAUAAGAAAUCGACAAUCUCUUUGUAAAGUUGAAAAUACAGAUGUAAGGACGUAACUUAAACGCGUGUUGUUACAUUACACCGUAACGGGCGACUUAUCUCACGUAAGUAAGCCGACGACGUAGGUCUUAAAGGGCCGAUUAGUGGGUCCAACUAAUUGGGAAAGCCACUCCUCCGUUUUCGCAGGGAGAACAGAAACGCGCUGGACAACAACGCGCCCAGACAAGCGCAAGCUCGCCCGCUCUCUCGAGCCGGUAACAACAGGAAGAUUAAUCGCUUUAAUUUCCGAGACAUGAUUAAUCAUAAUUAACAGCUUGCGUUGGUAGCAGCCCCAAACAUUAGAGGGUGAGGGAGCCGCCGAAAGUGGGGGAUGAGAAAGCGCAAGCGAGGAAGCGAAGAGCGAGGAGAGGCGGCAUUGCGGAGAGACUGUGACAGAUAAUAUCAAAAUACAGGAGAUCGAAGAUAAGGCCCGAAUUUAACAGCCGAAGGUAACAUAUUAGACUAGAGCAAGCAAAGGAAAAGCUGUUGGCUUUCCUUGCAAUAUGUUAGUUUAACGCUUAUCAUGAGUUUCUGUAAUUUCAUUCAUGUACGGAAAUUUCGACGAUUUCAAGAUAAAUGAGAUUAAUUUCUGCAAUUUUUGUAGAAAUUUCAACGUUAUUUUCCGUAAUCCUUUUUUUUACUCUUUAAUAUUGAAUACAUACGUGAGAAAAACAGUUUUGCUGAAGCAUUAAAAAAUUUAACUGAAUACAGAUUUAAAAAUAAUUUUAUUAAACUAUAUUAAAAUAAUUAUAAAGGCUGUUCAAUAAUUUAUAAUGAAGAGUGCCGUAAAAAAAUGUUAUAUUCUAGCAGCCAACUUAAGCUCUCUUUAUAAUUGUUUUGAUGGUCUAACAAAAUUAUAUAAAUCUGUAUCGAGCUAAAUGUUUAGAUACUUUAGCACAAAGUUAUUGUUUUCGUGCAUAUAUGCGUACAAAUAGAUUCACACGAAACGGUAAUUAAGUCGUGGAUUGGAAUUUCGCUAAGGCAAAAUCUACCAAAGAUUUUAGAGAGUGUCUCGUCAUCUAUAUGUACUGUUUGUUCAUUGUCUGCUCUUCUUGGACUAAUGACGCGCUGUGAAUCGCUAUUGUUGAAGGAAAUAGCAUACGUUUUACGCGUUGCGCGCGGAGGUCUUGCGUUGCUGCGCGAAAUCUUUAGGUAUUCUCAUACAAUAGAACAUCGUGUAAAAGUUACGCGAAGCCCCGGCGGCUCUACGAAUCCUCAAACGCAGUGGCAGACUUACGUUUAAAUAUUCAGGUCUAAAGAUGUAAAAUUAUGCCGCGGAGAACGUGAACUGUACCCAAAGCGGAGUAAGACUUAAGACAUUGACUGGAACGGGAAACAACUUUGAAAAUUUCGUAUUCCCAGGAAGUCUUAGUGUAUAUCCGCCUUUUAGGGAGAAGUACAAGACAAACUUGAGGCAGAGGCUGCCUUGUCUGUUUGCUUCAAUAAUGUCGUAUUAACAUAUGAAAAUAAAAGUAAGAUAUGGUGUGCAGGAUAAUUCUAGAGAAAUCUACGAAACUUUAUACACAGAGACUCCUCACACACCAACGUAAAGUUUAUGACUUGUUAGUAAGACAAUUUGGAAUGUCAAUUUUAUUCCGGUUUUAUUAAAUUAUUAUUAAUGUUUCUUAAUAUAAUCGAGUUGUAUAGAAAUUACUUUGUUAAAGUCUCGUAAAAUUAAAUAUGAGUAUUAUCUUUCACAUUUUUACAAAUUUUUGCUUCCCAAUCGUGUUCCCAAUUAAAAAAAUAAUUAAUACGUCAAAAGUCUUGUAAUCAACAAAUUGAUAUGGCAAUACAAAUAAAGUUUAAGAAAACAAUCUUGUUAUCGCAGAGAAUGACAUUUCAAGAGCGAGUGAUAAGUGGCCAUUAACUGUCGGAAUUGUUUAUAGUAAUUGCCGAGGAAAAAAAACAUAAGCAAGAGAACACGGUGGCGAAGGGAAAGAGGGAGCGGUGUAAUCCGACGAAAGGAGGUCAAGAGCCGGUUGGUUGGAAUGAAUAAUAUCCCGACACAUGCGGCGAACAGUUUCAACCCUACGGCGCUUCAUUUAGCAGGCUCCCCUCCGCACCCCUUUCUCGCAUCAUCUCGUCUCUCUCUCCCUCUCUUUCUCUCCCUCCCCUACCACUUCUCCCAGAGAAAGCGGUGUUUUUCGCAAAUUAAGAGAUUCGCAAUAAUGGCCUUAAUGGUAGCCGUAAGAUUAGCAGCUGAAAAUUACGUUGCCACUUAAACGCGAUUAUUUAUUGCCUAAUUUACUAUUACUGCCGACAGGACGCUCUCUCCGUGUACUUCAGUCGGUACACCGACUCGUUAUAACAUUAUGGCUCGUUGUGUGCCCAUAAUUAAUUUUUUCCUACCUUCCUUCUUUUUCCCCUCGUUACUCUCCCCCUCCCCUCUCCCUCCCCUUCGUCUCUCGAUUAUCCGUGUGCGGCUGAGACUUGAAACUGCAAGAGACGCGCAGGAAAUUUCACGGAACCGAUUAACUCUAAGUAAAUCACGUGGAAGAAAGUACGCGGAUACGUAUUAGCAAUAACAUUUAUUCCUCUCUCGUCCAGACGCAAGCUCGAUAUUAAAUCCGUAAAGCUUAUGAAGUUAUAAUAUUUAAUAAUAUUUCGGCACGGAAAUGCAUGUGUCUUAAUUCUUGGAUCACGCGGUGAUUUGUGUGCGGAGGCACAAACGGUGAUUACAAUUUAAACAGGGUUUCGAAGGACGGAGAAAAAUCGGUAGUUACGUAAUAAAAGCGUCGAAAUCUCAACGCCGGACUAAGAUGUCGAGGAUCAGGAGCGUUAUGAAGUCUUAAGCUUCGCCGGCGAGAACCCUUGGGGUGGCUGCUGCUGCUGCUGCUACUACUGCUGCUACUGCUGCCGUCCGAUCGGAAAGUAUUUCUCAUUUAGCCUUUCAGGCUGCUCUCAGGAUUACCCCUCGACCGAUCCCACUUUCCACCGUUCACCGCCAGCCCCCUCGCUUGCACACGUCUACCGAAGACAUCAAUAACGCCGGUACCAAAGUUUUGCCCCGCUUCAAAGUGUUUCUCCUGCCUUCUUCUCACCUCCCACCCUCUUUUUCCUGCAUUUUUUAUAGCUCACGUCCGAUGGUCCGGGAAGCAAUGAACUUUGCUCAAAAAAUGACAAACGAGCGCGCGCAAAAAGUGGCGAGAAGCCACGGGGGAACGGUGGCCGAAAGCUGAGUCCACGGAGUGGAAAUCUGUCGAGUUUGUUUCCGGAUUUAGCGUAACAAGGAAUUUCUCAAAUAAACUUAGCUAUACUCUCCGUAAUAAUAUUGAUCUUUUAAAAUCUUUCAAUUAUUUGCAUCUUUUGGGAAUUUAUGCUUUCACAAAUAAAUAAAAAAAUCCUCCUUUUAUAAGGAAAAAUUUAAUCUCACGUUCUACUCGAUGGUUUUUCAGCAGAUCAACUCGCAACGAUUCGCAUUUACAACUACGCCAGAGGUAGGUCACGAAACAGAGGAGGCUAAAGGAUAACCGGCAAGAUCCAAGUCCAAGCUAACAAGGGGUAGUCGGAUGAGAGGCCGGGCGCUCUUGAAAAGAGAAAGAAACGAAGAAUCGGGAGUUUAGUUGAAGGCACUGCAUCAAAUAGAUCAAACGUUUCCCGUUGGUUGUCUUCCUCUUCCUCCUUCUCACCCUUCGCGGGGAAAACCACGGAGAAAACCCCCGGACGGAAAAAAAAAUCUCUUAACCAAAUGACGCGAAAGAAAGACCCGUUCGGCGGCGAAACGGAAAGGAGAAGCGAAGAGGACGAUGGAAGAAAAGCUCGCUGAAAUUUUAAGCUCCUUCGAAAAGAGAGCGGCCGAUAAGAGAUUGGGACGAACAUGCUCGCGGCGGGAGCGGGACAAAUAAAAAGUUCUGCAAAUUUGAGUGGUGGUUUUAACGCCGAUGUACGAACCACCGUGGCUGACCGCCGAUAAAACCGCUCCUCCCCCGACCGCCCUCUCCCGCAGGGUCGAUGCCGAAGGCGAUCCCGGUUGCGAUCGAUUGUAAUUAAAUGGAAACGCUUUUACGUCCACGAUGGGCUCGUUACGCUUAUCGCUCCAUUUUUUCUCCCUUUUUUGUCGCGAAAUAAUAUUUUAAUUAUUACGACCGCGUGACGCGUCAAGCGCGGAUUUAGCGAUGAUAGAAACGCUUUGCUGAAACAACGAUUUCUUAACGGGAAAGAUAAAGCCCUUGCGUUAAGUAUAAAUUUAUAGUAUAACUCCGUGUGAAACUCUUUCUUCCCCCCUUUUUUUAGUUUAUAUAUAUAUAACGUUAUUACAAUUUUGAUAAGCGUUAGUCGUCAACAAGGUGGACGCAAAAAUAUUGCGCUUUUUUAGACGCUUUUUAUUUUUCAGCAACCACAUUGUAACUAACAUUAAACGAAACUAAAUAAUAUCCUGCUUUAAAUGCGAGAAGAUAAUUUGCCAAAAUAAUUAUAUUAAAUAAACAAUAUACAUAUGCAAACAUUAUGCAUAAACCAUUAAUACAUAGAAUAAGCGGCAAUCGCGUGCGAGAUAAAAAUAAAUAUAUAUAUUAAAAU